UACGUAGGGUGCGAGCGUUAAUCGGAAUUACUGGGCGUAAAGCGUGCGCAGGCGGUUUUGUAAGCCAGACGUGAAAUCCCCGGGCUUAACCUGGGAACUGCGUUUGGAACUGCAAGACUAGAGUGUGUCAGAGGGAGGUGGAAUUCCACGUGUAGCAGUGAAAUGCGUAGAUAUGUGGAGGAACACCGAUGGCGAAGGCAGCCUCCUGGGAUAACACUGACGCUCAUGCACGAAAGCGUGGGGAGCAAACAGG
rnacentral:rRNA from 1 species